GGCUCGGUAGCGCUGGGUGCGCGUCUGCUCCCAUUUGACUGUUGGGACGCAAAAUAACUGCAGAGUAUGCCUGUUCGAUUCAGGCUCGAGCCA